AUUGAACGCUGGCGGCAGGCCUAACACAUGCAAGUCGAACGGUAACAGGAAGCAGCUUGCUGCUUUGCUGACGAGUGGCGGACGGGUGAGUAAUGUCUGGGAAACUGCCUGAUGGAGGGGGAUAACUACUGGAAACGGUAGCUAAUACCGCAUAACGUCGCAAGACCAAAGAGGGGGACCUUAGGGCCUCUUGCCAUCGGAUGUGCCCAGAUGGGAUUAGCUAGUAGGUGGGGUAACGGCUCACCUAGGCGACGAUCCCUAGCUGGUCUGAGAGGAUGACCAGCCACACUGGAACUGAGACACGGUCCAGACUCCUACGGGAGGCAGCAGUGGGGAAUAUUGCACAAUGGGCGCAAGCCUGAUGCAGCCACGCCGCGUGUAUGAAGAAGGCCUUCGGGUUGUAAAGUACUUUCAGCGGGGAGGAAGGGAGUAAAGUUAAUACCUUUGCUCAUUGACGUUACCCGCAGAAGAAGCACCGGCUAACUCCGUG
rnacentral:rRNA from 1 species